UUGAACACUUCUCAAGCCAAAUGAAAUGUUUAUUCUAGAGUCAAUUAAGAUAGAAAUCUAGAAAUUUGGGUUGGUGAUCAUUAAAGCUUGUCAAAGUAAAUGAUGGUUUAAGGCAGGAAGAUUCAGCUAAUGUGGCUGUUAAAUUUAAUCUGACCAUUUCAUUAAAUUAAGAUCAUUAGCAUGCUUUUAUGCAGUAAGAUGGGAUGUCAUGACAGACAUAUACAGCCUACACAAGGCAAUCGAGUAUAUAUAAUGUUUGAGCAAAUGCUUUAGACCUUAAACUUCUUAGCCAUACUAAAUCUGAUUAAAGAGCAUUGGAUUGACACCAUUUAGGAAGAUUGUGGUAGGCAGACUUUUUCUUUGAGAUGUCUUAUAUGGGUAGAAACCAUUAGAGGACUACUACUUUCUUUCAUGGCAUCCAUAGUUUAUAAUCAUUGUAUAUUGCUCAGUCGGAAUGGAUAGCUGACAAAUCUAACUCCCUCUCUCAGCAAGGAAGGCAUAGGUGCAAAGCUCUCCGGCCAACUCCAGCCAAGCAAGGGACGCUGCUGGGGCUGCGCAUCCUCCUCUACAUCGUUACAAAAUGCCUGCAAGGGUGCCGCGGCAGCUUCACCUCCGACGAUGGCGACGGCCGUGACGAGAUCGAGAUGCAAGCUCGGAACGCGCUGGCCUUGCAGCAGUACUACCGGCAACAGUUGAGGCGGCCGGCGGCUGCAGCCACGAGCUCGUCGUUGCCGCGCGAUGAGUGGCAGAGCAAGCUGGUGAUCGCCGCCGGCUGCGAUCAUGUCUCCUUCAUCGCUCAGCCCUGUCCUCUUCGGACCAACGACGUCGUGGCUUGAUCUGUGUCACUCUCUUGUUCUUCAUCUGCGGAGACGGACGUACGGCAAUAAACCGCGUGAAGCUUGAUCCUCUCGUAGUGAGCUUUACGUAGCCGACUCUCUACCGUAAUGCGCUGCCGGACAUCAUCUUCUUAUUGAUGAUUGUAAAUAGACACGUUUCUCUAUUUUUGUAUUGCAAAUUAUGACGGGGAUCAAUAUAGUAUAUGUGAGGUUGAACCACACAAUAUAGUAUAUAUUUUGGAUUUUAAUGAAAAUAUAUAUAAUAACUUUUGAGAGGUA